GGGCAUGUGGUGUAACUGGGACACGCCGGGUUCUUACUAUGUUGGUCCGGAGAAGUCGGUUCGAUUCCGGCCUUGUCCA